UCGGGCUUCAUUGCAGCCGCCCGACCUCCACAAGACGCUUCGUCCAAGCGCUGC
rnacentral:ncRNA from 1 species